rnacentral:rRNA from 1 species
GACGUAGGGCGCGAGCGUUGUCCGGAUUGAUUGGGCGUAAAGAGCUCGUAGGCGGCUCGUUGCGUCGGCUGUGAAAACCCGCAGCUCAACUGUGGGCCUGCAGCUGAUACGGGCGGGCUGGAGUUCGGUAGGGGAGACUGGAAUUCCUGGUGUAGCGGUGAAAUGCGCAGAUAUCAGGAGGAACACCCGUAGCGAAGGCGGCACUCUGGGCCGAUACUGACACUGAGGAGCGAAAGCGUGGGGAGCGAACAGG